GUUCGGGUUGUCAUGCCAAUGACACUGCCCGGUAGCUAAGUGCGGAAAAGAUAAGUGCUGAAAGCAUCUAAGCACGAAACUUGCCUCGAGAUGAGUCUUCCCUGGUCCCUUGAGGACCCUGAAGGAACGUUUAAGACUAAGACGUUGAUAGGCUGGGUGUGUAAGUGCAGCGAUGCAUUGAGCUAACCAGUACUAAUGAACCGUGAGGCUUAACCUUACAACACCGAAGGUGUUUUAG
rnacentral:rRNA from 1 species